CUACGGGCUGCAGCAGUGGGGAAUAUUGGACAAUGGGGGAAACCCUGAUCUAGCAAUGCCGCGUGUGUGAAGAAGGCCUGCGGGUUGUAAAGCACUUUCGGUUGGGAGGACUGCUUCUAGCACUAAUAUUGUUGGAAGUUGACGUUACCUUCAGAAGAAGCACCGGCUAACUCCGUGCCAGCAGCCGCGGUAAUACGGAGGGUGCAAGCGUUAAUCGGAAUUACUGGGCGUAAAGCGCGCGUAGGCGGCUAGAUCAGUCGGGUGUGAAAGCCCCGGGCUUAACCUGGGAACUGCAUCCGAUACUGUCUAGCUUGAGUACAGGAGAGGAGAGUGGAAUUCCACAUGUAGCGGUGAAAUGCGUAGAUAUGUGGAGGAACACCAAUGGCGAAGGCAGCUCUCUGGCCUGAUACUGACGCUGAGGUGCGAAAGCGUGGGGAUCAAACAGGAUUAGAUACCCCGGUAGUC
rnacentral:rRNA from 1 species